rnacentral:rRNA from 1 species
GGUGCUGCAUGGCUGUCGUCAGCUCGUGCCGUGAGGUGUUGGGUUAAGUCCCGCACGAGCGCAACCUCGUGCUAUGUUGAUUUCUCACUUAGCCAGACUGCCUUGUACAGCAAGGAGGAAGGUGGGAUGACGUCAAGUCAGCAUGGCCUUUAUGCCCUGGGCUACACACACGCUACAAUGGGUGGGUACAGAGGGUUGCCACGGAGCAAUCCGGAGCGAAUCCCUUAAAACCAUCCUCAGUUCGGAUUGUAGGCUGCAAUCGCCUGCAUGAAGCCGGAGCUGCUAGUAACCGCAGGUCAGCUAUACUGCGGUGAAUACGUUCUCGGGCCUU